UACGUAGGUGGCAAGCGUUGUCCGGAUUUACUGGGCGUAAAGGGCGCGUAGGCGGCCACCGCAAGUCGGUUGUGAAAUCUCCGGGCUUAACCCGGAAAGGUCAAUCGAUACUGCGGGGCUAGAGUGCAGAAGGGGCAACUGGAAUUCUCGGUGUAGCGGUGAAAUGCGUAGAUAUCGAGAGGAACACCUGCGGCGAAGGCGGGUUGCUGGGCUGACACUGACGCUGACAGCGCGAAAGCUAGGGGAGCGAACGGG
rnacentral:rRNA from 1 species